rnacentral:tRNA from 1 species
GGUAGCGUUGCCGAGGGGUCUAAGGCGCUGGAUUUAGGCUCAGUCUCUUCGGGGGCAUGGGUUCGUAUCCCAUCGCUGCCA